GACCACUGGAAGAGCAAUUGACA
rnacentral:piRNA from 1 species